rnacentral:rRNA from 1 species
AUUGAACGCUGGCGGCAGGCCUAACACAUGCAAGUCGAGCGAGCGGCGGACGGUGGAGUAAUGUAUGGGGACUGCCCGUUAGAGGGGGAUAACUACUGGAAACGGUGGCUAAUACCGCAUACUAUCGGCUACCCCAUAUGGGAUUAGCUAGUAGGUCAGGUAAUGGCUUACCUAGGCGACGAUCCCUAGCUGGUCUACGAGGAUGAUAAGCCACACUGGGACGGAGAAACGGCCCCGACUCCUACGGAGGCAGCAGGGGGGAAUAUUGCACAAUGGGAGCAAGCCUGAUGCAGCCAUGCCGCGUGUAUGAAGAAGGCCUUAGGGUUGUAAAGUUUUUUCAUUCGGGAGGCGUUACCGACAGAAGAAGCACCGGCUAACUCCGUGCCAGCAGCCGCGGUAAUAC